rnacentral:rRNA from 1 species
CAAUAGCGUAUAUUAACGUUGUUGCAGUUAAAAAGCUCGUAGUUGGAUUUCUGGAGGGAGCGUCGGCCCGUAUUUACGAGUGCGUGACGUCUCUGUCCAUCCUUGCGGGAAGGCACGGCAUUGAUUUGUUGUGUCGGAUCGCAUCAUUUACUGUGAAAAAAUUAGAGUGUUCAAAGCAGGCUUUCGCUUGAAUACAUUAGCAUGGAAUAAUAAGAUAGGACUUUGGUGCUAUUUUGUUGGUUGAGCCUAAAGUAAUGAUUAAUAGGGAUAGUUGGGGGCACCUGUAUUGAGUUGUCAGAGGUGAAAUUCUUGGAUUUACGCAAGACAAACAGCUGCGAANGNGUCUGCNAAGGAUGUUUNCAUUA